CUUCAACGGAGAGUUUGAUCCUGGCUCAGGAUGAACGCUGGCGGCGUGCUUAACACAUGCAAGUCGAACGAUGAAGGGAGCUUGCUCCUGGAUUAGUGGCGAACGGGUGAGUAACACGUGAGUAACCUGCCCUUGACUCUGGGAUAAGCCUGGGAAACUGGGUCUAAUACCGGAUAUGACCUUCCAUCGCAUGGUGGUUGGUGGAAAGCUUUUGUGGUUUUGGAUGGACUCGCGGCCUAUCAGCUUGUUGGUGGGGUAAUGGCCUACCAAGGCGACGACGGGUAGCCGGCCUGAGA
rnacentral:rRNA from 1 species